UGUGUGCAUUUUUAAAAGAAAUAGGAAAUGGCGGAGAGUGAACCCGAGCAAAGACUGGGGACUCCUCAGAAACACCUCCCGACGUGUGACAAACAUAGUGAACUUACUGAUAUUUUCUGUGAGGACUGUGAUGAAUUUAUUUGUACUGAUAGUGCCAAAACGGAUCACAAAGAUCACAACUGGGUCACAAUAGUCAAGGCGGCCAGUCAAAGGAGGAGGCAACUCUUCCGGUUUAUACAGAAUAUCAAGGAAGAGAAAGUACCGAAAAUUGACAGAAAGAUAGAAAAUACAUCGAUAAAGAUUGAAGAAAUUGAAAAGCAAGGCGAAAGCGAAAUACAAAAACUACGGAAGCAUUUUGAUGAAAUCAUAGGGAGACUUACAGAAAUCAAGACACGUCACGAAAAGACACUGAGAGACAAUCUCAUUGAAAGAUGUGAACAGGUGAAUUGUUUGAAAACUCAAUAUGAAAAAGACAAACAAAAUAUUGUUGAGAUGGUGAAAUUGAUGGAGGAGAAUAAUAGUACCAUGUCUGAUUACAAAUUGAUUAAUCAUCACAGAGAAAUGUCACAACUUGUGUCUGCUGUGGAUGUUAAUACGAAGACCUCUGCUACGGAAAUCUAUGAAUAUUCUUUGAGAUACACAGGGAGAGAACUCUGUGAUGAUGAAUUAGAUUCCAUGGUGGGACAAACGUUUGAUUUAGAAGACAUUAAUGCUACUGAGAUAGUAAACUCAUUUCAAUACAGUGAUAAAUAUAUUACAAUACUGAAUGCCUUUAGUGAGAACGAAAGUUAUGUUCAAUUUUUUCUAUCAGAAUACAUUGAACAUAUCCACAAAGAAGGUAAUAAGAAACAGAAAUACAAUGUUACUGCGAAUGGCAUCUGUGUGACAGAUACCGGUGAUGUUUAUUUCACUGACUAUAAGGACAGAAGCAUCGCCCGUCUGUCUCCAUCAGGAUCUGUCUCUACAGUAGUCAGUACACGUCCACUAAAACCGAUAGGAAUCAGUCUGUCACUGAACGGUUGUCUUCUGGUCACUUUGUCAGACACUACUAAAUCAGAGAUAUUUGUAUUAGAAUCUUACAGCAGACCUGGUGAAACACAUAACGCUGACUAGGGACGUCAUUUGUGAGUACGAGUAUCAUGAGGAUGGUCAGACUAGACUGUUUAUUUUACCUUUUAGAGUCAAACAGAACGGUAACUCUGACAUCUGUGUUGUGAAUUGGACAUCUAAUGUUACGGGUAACGUGGUGAUUCUGUCAUCCUCUGGUCGUCUGAGGUCUGUCUAUCACGGACAGAACCUGAAUAAGGAUUUUUAUCCACAUGACUUGGUGUGUGACUCCCGCUGUAACAUCCUUGUUACUGACGUCUACAAUUCUUUCAAUUUCCAUUACCGAUCUCUUCAAUUUGAAGGCGCGUUUAGUAGCGUUGUCUGGGACAAACGUCAUAUCGCGUCACGUAAGUUGUCAACGAUGGCGUCGAACUAUCACGGAUUGCAGUGCGCAGACCUCAAACAAAUACUCAAAUCGAAAGGUAUUCCCUUUUCAAACAAAAAUAUACAAGAUCUUGUUGACUUGUGUGAAAGUGCGGAUGCUCUUGAUUUACCACAAAUCAAUCUUGACGAUGUGGAGGCCUCAGUCAAGAGACGGACUGUUCGCGGGAUAACGUUCCCACAGCCUAAUGACAAGGAUUCUGACAUCGUUUGGACACCCAAUCUCGCUAACAUUCCUUCAGUCGACACCUUCGAUGUUACGAGUUUUCUGCAGAAUUACUGUGGGUGGUCUGCAGAACGCAUACGGAGAAGAAAAUCCGACAAUGGGUAUAAACUACAUUGUUCCGGCCACAUCCAUGAUGUUACAAUGGCAGUAUUAGGACCGAAACCAGCUGGACUGGUUUGAUACUGGGAUUGAACCAAGAUCUUUUGAAUGUUAAGGAGAAAAUGUGGAAAUUACUUAGCUACCUGUCAGUUCCUGGAGCAUGUCAUGGAAAUGAUCUGUGUUUCAUCAAGGGCAGAUGUGUUCCCGAAACUAGGCAGUCCAGUGAACCUUAUUCUCCAUGGAUUCUUGUUGAGAAUUCAGGACACAUUUUUUCAGCUGAAUGUACAUGUGUUGCGGGGGAUGGAUCAUGCAAACAUGUGGUUGCCCUACUAUUUGGCAUUAUCGAUCAUGUUAUAUCCAUGGAAGACAGAAGUACCAUAGGAGUGACUGAUACUGCAGCAUAUUGGGACAAACCUAGAAAAGUUUGCAGGCCAAUAGCUGUUAAUGACUUGGAUAUCAGACCUUAUUCAAUUGCAGGUUUGAUAUGAAUCUACCCGAUAAGGCACGCCCAUCUGUGGAUUCUGGCUAUCUACCCCUGAAAUCGGCAACACUGGAUCAAAGGGCAAUAGAAAGGCAUCAUGAAAGUCUUAAAGCAAAGCCAGACAGCUGCAGUGGUAUUAUAUACUCUGUCUGAUUCUGACAGCGAAAGUGAUGUGUCAAUGUUGGUUGAAGAUACUCCUCUUAACAUCAUUGAACUUUUGGCCAAACAUGGGCAAGAGAAUCUCAGCAUUGAAGAUUCUUACAUAAAUCAAGUUAGGGAACUAACAUGGGGCCAAUCAAAUAACUUGAUGUGGCAUUAUCAAAGGAAAGGUAGACUAACUGCAUCUAACUUUUACAGUGCAUUUCAUUACAGAGGCAACAGCACAGAAAAUUACAUUGUAAAGAGUAUCUUGGGAAAAUACCAAUUUACUUCGAAGUCUGUUGAAUAUGGGAAGUCACAAGAACCUGUUGCCAGAGGAAAGUACAUUGAGUACAUGUCCAGUCGGCAUCCAUCAUUUCAGUGUUCUGAGACAGGUAUAUUUGUGUACAAGGACUUUCCUUACCUUGCCGCUUCCCCAGAUGGUGUUACAGAAUGUAAAUGUUGUGGAAAAGGACUGUUGGAAAUCAAAUGUCCAUUCAGUUUUCAGAAUGAAAUUUCUCAGGUUGCUAUGUCAAAAAAUUCAUCUUGUAUUUCAGCUCAUGGCAAAUAUGAAUUGAAAAAAAAUUUGUCCUCUCCAUAUUAUGUCCAGAUGCUUGGUCAAAUGGCAAUAGGAAAUUUUUCAUUUUGUGAUGUUGUCUUAUAUACAAAGAAAGAUAUUCAUGUUGAAAGAGUUCACUAUUCAAGUGCAGAUUGGGAAUUGCUGUCAGACAAACUGAAGAGUUUUUAUACAUGCUUUGUCCUGCCAAACUUGGUUUAGAUGAAACCAGUUGCAUACAUGUUAUACUUUGUAUAUAUAGAUUUCUUUUGACAAAACCUUUUUCAUAUACCAUGUAUUCUUGACCUUGUGACCUUCACCUUCUCCAGAACAAGAUUAAUUUAGUCAUAUUGGUAUCAAAUCAUCCCCAUGUUUUUGAAUUCAAGUUCAGUUAUGUCAUGACCCUUUUUGGCUAGGUUGAGGCCACAAUAUGGGGUCCAAAUUUUUUAUGGGAAUAAAAAUUGAUAAAUUAUGUAAGAUAUCAAAAAGAAAAUCAAUUCAAAGUUAAUUUAAGUAAUCAUAUUUCAUCUUGUGACCAUGUUGAAACAUACUUUCUUAUAAAACCUGACUGAAUAAAUAGUUUUCACAAAGACCAUUCAGAUUGCAAACAGGCAUAGUGAAAGUUUUUAAGUAAUUCAACCAAACCUCAGUUAGAUUUUGAUAGACACAGCUUGUCAUAAUGUUUCAAAAUACUAAUACUUAAUUGCAUAUUCAUUUAAGAAUUAUCAUAUAUGUUUUAAUAUUGAUAUAAUUAUUAUAUGAUAAUAUUAUCAUUAGUGUUAGUACAGUGUAUGCUAUGCAUAUGUUGCAAUAUGAAUUUCUCAGGGUUUUUUUACUGCACUGUGCAUGCUGCUUGUUAUUCCUUAAGCAUGUUGCUUUUUAUUCAAGAUUCUGCACAAUGUGACAUAGGUCCAUACAAAGGAAAUGUAAUUAUAAAUUGAAGUUUU